GGAAGGACUGUAGCUCAGGGGUAGAGCCCCUGCUUGGCAUGCAGAAGGUCCCAGCCUCAAUCCCCAGCAUCUCCA